rnacentral:rRNA from 1 species
UACGUAGGUGGCAAGCGUUGUCCGGAUUUACUGGGCGUAAAGAGCUCGUAGGCGGUUUGUCGCGUCGACUGUGAAAACCCGAGGCUUAACCUCGGGCCUGCAGUCGAUACGGGCAGACUAGAGUUCGGUAGGGGAGACUGGAAUUCCUGGUGUAGCGGUGAAAUGCGCAGAUAUCAGGAGGAACACCGGUGGCGAAGGCGGGUCUCUGGGCCGAUACUGACGCUGAGGAGCGAAAGCGUGGGGAGCGAACAGG